rnacentral:rRNA from 1 species
UACGUAGGGGGCAAGCGUUGUCCGGAUUUAUUGGGCGUAAAGAGCUCGUAGGUGGUUCGGUAAGUCGGAUGUGAAAUCUCCAGGCUCAACCUGGAGGGGUCAUUCGAUACUGCCGUGACUAGAGGUCGGUAGGGGAGUGUGGAAUUCCCGGUGUAGUGGUGAAAUGCGUAGAGAUCGGGAGGAACACCUGUGGCGAAGGCGGCCCCCUGGGCCGGCCCUGACACUGAGACGCGAAGGCGUGGGGAGCGAACGGG